rnacentral:rRNA from 1 species
AUUGAACGCUGGCGGCAGGCCUAACACAUGCAAGUCGAACGGUAACAGGAAGAAGCUUGCUUCUUUGCUGACGAGUGGCGGACGGGUGAGUAAUGUCUGGGAAACUGCCUGAUGGAGGGGGAUAACUACUGGAAACGGUAGCUAAUACCGCGUAACGUCGCAAGACCAAAGAGGGGGACCUUCGGGCCUCUUGCCAUCGGAUGUGCCCAGAUGGGAUUAGCUAGUAGGUGGGGUAACGGCUCACCUAGGCGACGAUCCCUAGCUGGUCUGAGAGGAUGACCAGCCACACUGGAACUGAGACACGGUCCAGACUCCUACGGGAGGCAGCAGUGGGGAAUAUUGCACAAUGGGCGCAAGCCUGAUGCAGCCAUGCCGCGUGUAUGAAGAAGGCCUUCGGGUUGUAAAGUACUUUCAGCGGGGAGGAAGGGAGUAAAGUUAAUACCUUGGCUCAUUGACGUUACCCGCAGAAGAAGCACCGGCUAACUCCGUG